rnacentral:rRNA from 1 species
ACACGACUACAUUAGACUACCCCCGUAGUCCUAGCCGUAAACGAUACUCGCUAGGUGUCGGCCACGGUGCGACCGUUGUCGGUGCCGUAGGGAAGCCGUGAAGCGAGCCACCUGGGAAGUACGGCCGCAAGGCUGAAACUUAAAGGAAUUGGCGGGGAGCACCACAAGAGGUGGAGGCUGCGGUUCAAUUGGACUCAACGCCGGAAAACUCAUCGGGAGCGACAGCAGUAUGAUUGCCAGGUUGAUGACCUUGCUUGACAAGCUG